CCUACGGGGGGCUGCAGUGGGGAAUAUUGCACAAUGGGGGAAACCCUGAUGCAGCAACGCCGCGUGAGCGAAGAAGGCCUUCGGGUCGUAAAGCUCUGUCCUAAGGGCAGAAAAAUGACGGUACCUUAGGAGGAAGCCCCGGCUAACUACGUGCCAGCAGCCGGGGUAAUACGUAGGGGGGGAGCGUUAGCCGGAAUCCCUGGGCGUAAAGGGUGCGUAGGCGGCCGAUUAAGCCAGAGGUGAAAGGAUAGGGCUUAACCGUAGUAAGCCUUUGGCACUGAUUGGCUUGAGUGCAGGAGAGGAGCGUGGAAUUCCUAGGGUCGCGGUGAAAUGCGCAGAUAUUAGGAGGAACACCAGGGGCGAAGGCGACUCUCUGGACUGUAACUGACGCUGAGGCACGAAAGCGUGGGGAGCAAACAGGAUUAGAUACCCGAGUAGUC
rnacentral:rRNA from 1 species